GCCAUUAAACCCAUCGUUCCACAGCACGGUUGGUGAGAGAUCUGGGACCAGCUGCUGACUCUUUUUCACUACAUAAGUGGCUUCUCCGGUUUGUUUUUCCUGCCAUUCCUCCCUCACCCAACAGCAAGACUGCUUUCAUCUCCAGCUGGUGGGUACCAGAAUCCAAACCCGUGAUCCUUGGUGUUGUAAGGCUGCACUGUAACCAACUGAGCUAACCGGCAAGCCUGAAUACUUUAAAUAAGUGUUACCAAAAACAUAUUUCAUUGCAAGCAUCCGAGUUCCUGGGUCUCCAGAAGUGGGAGGUAAUACUUUGUAAUAACGUUGUAAUAACGGCAACAACAAUACGACGAAAAUCAGAUUUGAAAAAAAAAAGUCUUUGAACGUUUGUAUGGAGUAGGAUGCAAAGAAAAAUUGCCUCACGUACGUAUAGGUUCUGCCACUGAGAAAGACAAAUUUAUACUCAUUUACUUGAAAUUGCUGAGGAGGGAGAUCCUGCAAAGCAUCUAGUGAGAAAGGGUUUGUAAAGGGAAUUUAAUUGCAUAGUGUCCGUUAUUACUAAUAAAAGCAUGAAAAUGAAAAUAUAAUUGACAUCCUC